UACAGAGGGUGCAAGCGUUGUUCGGAAUUACUGGGCGUAAAGCGCGUGUAGGCGGCUUCGUAAGUUGGAUGUGAAAUCCCACGGCUCAACCGUGGACGUGCAUCCAAAACUACGUCGCUGGAGUCUCGGAGAGGAAGGUGGAAUGCUUGGUGUAGAGGUGAAAUUCGUAGAUAUCAAGCAGAACACCUGCGGCGAAGGCGGCCUUCUGGACGAUGACUGACGCUGAGACGCGAAAGCGUGGGAGCAAACAGG
rnacentral:rRNA from 1 species